rnacentral:rRNA from 1 species
UACUUAGGGUGCGAGCGUUAAUCGGAAUUACUGGGCGUAAAGCGUGCGCAGGCGGUUUUGUAAGCCGGAUGUGAAAUCCCCGGGCUUAACCUGGGAAUGGCAUUCGGGACUGCAAGGCUGGAGUGCGGCAGAGGAGACUGGAAUUCCUGGUGUAGCAGUGAAAUGCGUAGAUAUCAGGAGGAACACCGAUGGCGAAGGCAGGUCUCUGGGCUGACACUGACGCUCAUGCACGAAAGCGUGGGGAGCAAACAGG